CCUACGGGUGGCAGCAGUGGGGAAUAUUGCACAAUGGGCGCAAGCCUGAUGCAGCGACGCCGCGUGAGCGAAGAAGUAUUUCGGUAUGUUAAGCUCUAUCAGCAGGGAAGAAAAUGACGGUACCUGACUAAGGAGCUCCAGCUAAAUACGUUCCAGCAGCCGCUGUAAUACGUAUGGAGCAAGCGUUAUCCGGAAUUAAUGGGGGUAAAGGGGGCGUAGACGGAUGUGCAAGUCUGAUGGGCAAGGCGGGGUCUCAACCCCUGGACUGCAUUGGAAACUGUACAUCUUGAGUGACGGAGAGGUAAGCGGAAUGCCUAGUGUAGCGGUGAAAUGCGUAGAUAUUAGGAGGAACACCAGUUGCGAAGGCGGCUUACCGGCCGGCAACUGACGUUGAGGCUCGAAAGCGUGGGGAGCAAACAGGAUUAGAUACCCGGGUAGUC
rnacentral:rRNA from 1 species